rnacentral:lncRNA from 13 species
CAGUCACUUGUAAGCAGCGCUGUCAAAAACACCGAAUUACAGCAUUCAAAAAUGUACUUGUAUAGUGACUGCAAGUUGCCACAAAAUUUUUUAUCCAUGGCUUCGGUUGGUCGUGACUUGGUGUUAUAGAGAAAGCUUGCCAUCUCCUCUAUCAUACACGGUGGAAAAGCUACACCACGGCUUGUGCAAAUCAUGAGUGACUCAGCUGAAUACCGGAACGACGAUGGCCGAACAAUUAAUUGUUACAAUUAUAUUAUGCGGAUAUUGUAUACCUUAUUCUAAUGAAGCCAUCGAUCAAAAUAUGUCACUCAUACCUAUUGAUUAAAAAAGUAAUAGAUACUACAUGCCUUUUUCUUUUUUUAAAAUAAUUACCAUAUUUUAUCUGUAUUCUUGUAACAAUGCUAAUAAAAGUACGCUACCAUUACAUAAG